rfam:Sarcophilus harrisii ctg7180001562428, whole genome shotgun sequence.
UCUGAUGUAUGGCAAGUAGAGAGAAGCUAUCACUUCAGA